rnacentral:sRNA from 1 species
UACUAUCAGUGUGAGAGUGACAAAGGC